rnacentral:snRNA from 1 species
GUGCUCGCUUUGGCAGCACAUACACUAAAAUUGAAACGAUACAGAGAAGAUUAGCAUGGCCCUUGUGCAAGGAUGACACGCAAAUUCAUGAAGCGUUCCAUAUUUUU